rnacentral:rRNA from 1 species
UACGAAGGGGGCUAGCGUUGUUCGGAAUUACUGGGCGUAAAGCGCACGCAGGCGGCGCGUUAAGUCAGGGGUGAAAGGCCUGGGCUCAACCCAGGAAUUGCCUUUGAGACUGGCGCGCUCGAGUCCGGAAGAGGGUAGUGGAAUUCCCAGUGUAGAGGUGAAAUUCGUAGAUAUUGGGAAGAACACCGGUGGCGAAGGCGGCUACCUGGUCCGGUACUGACGCUCAAGUGCGAAAGCGUGGGGAGCAAAC